rnacentral:rRNA from 1 species
UACGAAGGGGGCUAGCGUUGCUCGGAAUCACUGGGCGUAAAGGGUGCGUAGGUGGGUCUGUAAGUCCGUGGUGAAAUCUCCGAGCUUAACUUGGAAACUGCCAUGGAUACUAUAGGUCUUGAAUAUUGUGGAGGUCAGCGGAAUAUGUCAUGUAGCGGUGAAAUGCUUAGAUAUGACAUAGAACACCAAUUGCGAAGGCAGCUGGCUACGCAUAUAUUGACACUGAGGCACGAAAGCGUGGGGAUCAAACAGGG